rnacentral:lncRNA from 1 species
ACAUGGAACGGUCUGAACGGAAAGCCAAGGCAAGGCUGGGAAAGCUUCAGCGGAGAAUUUCAGAAACCAGAGAAGCGAACCGUCAAGCAGCAAUGAACAACGCUCGGAUCCAACUUUACAUUGAUGCUAUCCUUCAUCAUUUGGGAUGGUAAUUGAAUUGUUUCUAUUAGUUAUUGAGUUUAUAUUCAAUAUACUGUUAACGUAUGAAUUAUAUAAUCUUUUAGUAAACUUAGACUAUAUGAUAUGUUCUUUUAUUAAUGAGAAAGUUUUUAUGUAUUUAUUUUUAAAAUUUGUAAAAAUUUAUGCUUAUUUGUUUAUGAAUUAUUAUUAAAAGUAUAUACACUAACAAGUUAUCAAAUUAUAAUUUUUAACUUAAUUUAUAUAGUAAAAAAAUUAAUUUUUAUAGACUUGAUUUUUGGUAUUUAUUAUGGAAUCUUCACGCAAUUUAAUUAUAGUUAUACCAUUUUAAUUCAUUAUAAAUAAAAAAAUUAUUUCCAAAUAUUCAAAAUGGAUAAAUCUGAUUUUUUAUUAAUAAAUUUGAUAUUAAUUCAAAUUUGAGAAGUAUAAUUAAACCACAUCAAAAUUGUUCAUGAAAUCUAGUUAAUUGAUUAGAACUCUUGAAAAACGUUUUAACUAUAUGAUUUUAUUUUUCAUUUUAUCAUUUGCAGAUUAAAUUUUCUUGAUGAAAAUUGCUUGGGUAUAAACGAUUACCGUCCGUUCACACCGCCUUCCACCAGCGAGAUAUGAUUGUCUUUACCGUUGAUUUUUUUUUGUAAUAUACACAUCCCUAUCCAUAUAGGUAUUUCGAAUUCGUCUUCAUCUCAAUUUGUGUAUAUUUAAUAGGUAAAAAUAAUCAUUGAUAUGUAUUUUGUUUGAAAAAAUAAAAAAGUAAAAAG